GGCAGUUCUUGGGUGACGCACCCUGAAUUUGGGCUCCCUCCUCUCUGGUUCCAGGUGCAUCACCCAAGAACUGGA
rfam:Myotis brandtii contig233080, whole genome shotgun sequence.